GAUGAACGCUAGCGGCAGGCCUAACACAUGCAAGUCGAGGGGUAGAGUUCUUCGGGACUUGAGACCGGCGCACGGGUGCGUAACGCGUAUGCAAUCUACCUUAUACAGGGGAAUAGCCCCAGAGAAAUUUGGAUUAAUGCCCCAUAGUGUUAUCGAAUCGCAUGGUUUGAUAACUAAAGUUCCAACGGUAUAAGAUGAGCAUGCGUCCCAUUAGUUAGUUGGUAAGGUAACGGCUUACCAAGACAAUGAUGGGUAGGGGUCCUGAGAGGGAGAUCCCCCACACUGGUACUGAGACACGGACCAGACUCCUACGGGAGGCAGCAGUGAGGAAUAUUGGUCAAUGGGCGCAAGCCUGAACCAGCCAUGCCGCGUGCAGGAAGACGGUCCUAUGGAUUGUAAACUGCUUUUUGUACGGGAAGAAACACUCCUACGUGUAGGAGCUUGACGGGUACCGUAAGAAUAAGGAUCGGCUAACUCCGUGCCAGCAGCCGCGGUAAUGUG
rnacentral:rRNA from 1 species